UUCCCAGACUCCUACGGGAGGCAGCAGUGAGGAAUAUUGGUCAAUGGGCGAGAGCCUGGACCAGCCAAGUCGCGUGAAGGAUGAAGGAUCUAUGGUUUGUAAACUUCUUUUAUGUGGGAAUAAAGUGAGGAACGUGUUCCUUUUUGUAUGUACCAUAUGAAUAAGCAUCGGCUAACUCCGUGCCAGCAGCCGCGGUAAUACGGAGGAUGCGAGCGUUAUCCGGAUUUAUUGGGUUUAAAGGGUGCGUAGGCUGUGAGGUAAGUCAGCGGUGAAAUGCCCCCGCUCAACGGGGUGAAGUGCCAUUGAUACUGCCUUGCUGGAAUGCGGAUGCCGUGGGAGGAAUGUGUGGUGUAGCGGUGAAAUGCAUAGAUAUCACACAGAACACCGAUUGCGAAGGCAUCUCACGAAUCCGCGAUUGACGCUGAUGCACGAAAGCGUGGGUAUCAAACAGGAUUAGAUACCCUAGUAGA
rnacentral:rRNA from 1 species